UACAGAGACCUCAAGCAUUAUCCGGAUUUAUUGGGCGUAAAGCGUCCGCAGGUUGUUCAGUGUGUCAGAGGUUAAAACUCAACGCUUAACGUUGAGAUUGCCUUUGAAACUGCUGAACUAGAGGGUGGAAGAGGUAAGCGGAAUUCUCGGUGUAGUCGUAAUAAGCGUUGAUAUCGAGAAGAACACCAAAUGCGAAGGCAGCUUACUGGUACACACCUGACACUCAGGGACGAAAGCGUGGGGAGCAAACAGG
rnacentral:rRNA from 1 species